rnacentral:rRNA from 1 species
AUGGUUAAUAGAUCAUUUGAGUUGCACUUGCACGGCUCACUUGGCCUCAGCUGGUUUGGGUUUCUGGCCGGAGUAGUCUUUGGCGGUCCGGCUGCCGGGCGGCGGGCCGGACUCAGCGAGCAUCUGCACGACGUCGGCCAUGGUGGGGCGGAGGCCGGGGAUGCUGCAGGUGCACCGGACGGCCACGCGCAGCGCCUGCACCAUCUCGUCCUUGAAGGGGCUCCACGCGAGCCGCUUGUCCAGCGCCUCCGCCUCCGCCGCGGCGGCCACCUUGCCGGUUACCCACUGCACGAUGUCCAUCGUCUCCCCGAACUCCGGCUCGAUCGGCUUCUUCCCCGUGGCCAGCUCCAUGAGCACCACCCCGAAGCUGUACACGUCGCACUUGGUCGUGGCCUUGGACGAGUAGGCGUACUCCGGGGCCAGGUACCCGUACGUGCCGGCGAUGGUGGUGGUCGACGAGGUGUCGCCGCCGCCUGCACCGCCGCAGCGGGUGGCCUGGAGCACCUUGGCGAUGCCGAAGUCGGCCACCUUGGGCUCGAAGUCGGCGUCGAGCAGGAUGUUGGACGACUUGACGUCGCGGUGCACGAUGGCGAACAGGAGGUCGUGGUGGAGGUAGGCCAGGCCCUGGGCCACGCCGAUGGCCACGCGGCGGCGCGUGGGCCAGUCGAGGAACCCGAAGCCGCCCCACCCGCCGCCGGCGCCGCCGUGCAGCGCGUCCCACAGGUUGCCGUUGGGCAUGUACUCGUACACCAGCAGGUUGCAGUCGGCGCCCGAGUAGCAGCAGUAGAGCUUCACGAUGUUCUUGUGCCGGAUGCUGCCCAGCGUCUCCACCUCCGUCCGCAGCUCGCGGCUGUCGUCCUCCUCGCCGCCGCCGCCGUAGCCACGGCCAUGCCCAUGCCCAUGGCCGCGAUGCUGAUGCUGCUUCUGCCGCUGCUGCUUGGACUUGGAGGAGGACACCCACAGCUUCUUCACCGCCACCAGCUCGCCGCUGCUCAGCUCGAUCUUGUACACCGUGCCGGAGCCGCCGUGCCCGACGAUGUUCUUGUCGAUCAGCGCCUCCACGAUCUCGUGCUGGUCGAAGUUUAG